GAGUGAUAAGUAGGUAAUUUUAAUUGGGGAAAUUAAAAAAUAAUAAGAAACUUUAUUAUGAAAGUUAGUAUUAAAAACUAUGGGAAAGAUACUCUAGGGAUAACAGCGUUAUUACUUUGGAGAGUACAUAUUGAUAAAGUAGUUUGCGACCUCGAUGUUGAAUUAACGGACCUUCUAGUUGGAGAGGACUAGGAAGGCAGAUUGUCCAUCUGUUAAAUCGUUACUUGAUCUGAGUUCAGACCGGA
rnacentral:rRNA from 1 species